rnacentral:rRNA from 1 species
GACGUAGGGCGCGAGCGUUGUCCGGAUUUAUUGGGCGUAAAGAGCUCGUAGGCGGUCUGUCACGUCUGCUGUGAAAACUCGGGGCUUAACCCCCGGGCCUGCAGUGGGUACGGGCAGACUAGAGUGCGGUAGGGGAGAGUGGAAUUCCUGGUGUAGCGGUGAAAUGCGCAGAUAUCAGGAGAACACCCGUGGCUAAGGCGGCUCUCUAGUACGGUACUGACGCUGAGACGCGAAAGCGUGGGGAGCGAACAGG